AGCACGUUAGUCUAAUGGAAAGGCAAAAUACUACGGAUAUUUACAUGCAAGUUCGACCCUUGCACGUGCUU
rnacentral:tRNA from 1 species